rnacentral:rRNA from 1 species
UACGGGGGGAGCAAGCGUUGUUCGGAUUUACUGGGCGUAAAGGGCUCGUAGGCGGUCUGUCGCGUCGGUAGUGAAAACUCAGGGCUUAACCCUGAGCCUGCUUCCGAUACGGGCAGACUAGAGGUAUGCAGGGGAGAAUGGAAUUCCUGGUGUAGCGGUGAAAUGCGCAGAUAUCAGGAGGAACACCAGUGGCGAAGGCGGUUCUCUGGGCAUUACCUGACGCUGAGGAGCGAAAGUGUGGGGAGCGAACAGG